AUCGCUUCUCGGCCUUUUGGCUAAGAUCAAGUGUAGUAUUUUUCAGAUUCCACAUAUAAGUGAUAUCAUACAGUAUUUGUCUUUCUCAAAGAUAGCUUUUUAAAAAAUAAAAACUUGGGGCUUCCCUGGUGGCGCAGUGGUUGAGAAUCCGCCUGCCAAUGCAGGGGACACGGGUUCGUGCCCC
ensembl:snRNA U2 U2 spliceosomal RNA